GUCGGGAAUUUUGCGCAAUGGGCGAAAGCCUGACGCAGCAACGCCGCGUGAGGGAUGAAGGCCUUCGGGUUGUAAACCUCUUUUCUCAGGGACGAUAAUGACGGUACCUGAGGAAUAAGCCACGGCUAACUACGUGCCAGCAGCCGCGGUAAUACGUAGGUGGCGAGCGUUGUCCGGAUUUACUGGGCGUAAAGAGCGCGCAGGCGGUCGUGCAAGUCGCGUGUGAAAGCCCCCGGCUCAACUGGGGAGGGUCACGCGAUACUGCUCGACUCGAAGGCGGGAGAGGGAAGUGGAAUUCCCGGUGUAGUGGUGAAAUGCGUAGAUAUCGGGAGGAACACCAGUGGCGAAGGCGACUUCCUGGCCCGUUCUUGACGCUGAGGCGCGAAAGCUAGGGGAGCAAACGGGAUUAGAAACCCUGGUAGUCC
rnacentral:rRNA from 1 species